rnacentral:lncRNA from 1 species
CCGGAAUCCUUUCUCAUGUUCUACCCUGACUCAGGUUCGGAUUCAGGACACCAGAAUGCCCUUCCCCAGACCCGGAUCCUCUAGAAUAGUCACAGAGCUGAGUUGGGUUUUAACCCCAUACAACAUGAGCGCUCCUCUCUCCUCGCUGAGCUCUGAGUACCAGCUGAACUAGGUACUCCGACGCAACGCAUGCGCAGGGAAGUGCCACGCUGUUAUUUCUCUCACAUCCACGAGGGGUCGCACAACGCCUUCCAGAGUUCGCCCCAAGAACCUGCGCCUUAGUAAAUCCCUUCCCUCCGGAACCUCCCAUCUCUC